GGUACUAUAGAGUCUUGCUGUAAGGAGAGGAUGGAGGGGACUGCUGAGGGUCCUGCUGUAAGGAGAGAAUGGAGGGUACUAUAGAGUCUUGCUGUAAGGAGAGGAUGGAGGGGACUGUAAGGGACCUGCUGUAAGGAGAGGAUGGAGGGUACUAUAGAGUCUUGCUGUAAGGAGAGGAUGGAGGGGACUGCUGAGGGUCCUGUUGGAAGCAGAGGAUGGAGAUGGAGUAGGAAGCAUCUGCUAAGACAAUAAUCCGGAAAGACGAACUCUGAUCCAAAUGCCACAAAGUGACUUUUUCUCACCAGCAAUUUUCCUACGUAACACACAAAUACCCACAUUUGCUGUGGAUGGUCUUCCCCACCUUCCAUCUCCACCACCUUCCAAUUCUAGAAGACUCACAAGCAAUCUGGAGGCACAGGCAUGUGGUAAGAAAGCAAAAGCAAGGACUACUUGGGGGAAGAAGGGAAAUCAGUCAGAGGGUCGGGUACUGUCUUCGUUAGGGUUUCUAUUGUCAUCUCAAAGGGAACAUGAGCUAAUUUAUUCUGGAGUAAACUAUGAUUUAAACUGUGAACACAGAUUUAGGGUACCCCAAAUGCUAUGUACUGACCUGGCAAUAGUUUCUUGAUUUUUUUUUAAUAAGAAAAGAAAAUGAAGUCCUAAGUCAGGGCAACUUUCCAAUACAUGGGUGGAAUGUCCGAUAGGUGGUUACAGCAAAGUGGGAAGCCUCGCUGUAGGCCUCAGAUGAUGCCUGAUGACAUUCUUAGCUUUGGGCUGGGAGAUUGUUAGUAUGUUCUGGGAAGAUUUUACCUUAUAGUCAUGGGCCACUAGGUCAAACACAGAGGGGGGUGAUGCCUGACUCUCAAGAAGGCUAAAGAUAGACUUGGAGCAUUCUACUCUCUGUCAUGGAAAUUCUAACCAGUCAAUCGAUCCUGGAAAUCUUUAACAUAGGUGCAGCUGUUUUCUCCCUUGGGAACUUCAGGUCACAGGCACGUCAAGGUUGGAGUUUCAUGUUAUUUCCUGGUCCACCGAGAUGUGAACAAGCAUCUCCAUGCUUCUGCCGCCACACAAGGGCUGCCUGUAACAGGAAGAUAUCACUGCAGCUGUCCUUGCCAUGAUGUAAUGGAUCCACAAACCAAGCAGCAAAGCAAAUUCUUCCUCCUCUGUACUGCUUCUCGUCAGGAAUGUCUGUUCUGCGUCACUGUUUGCUGGAAAGAAGUAAAUUCCCCUUUGAUUUAACAGGCCUGACAGAUGGGGGUCGCUUCGUGGAGUCUUCGAAGAGACUUUGGACUUUUGGAUAAUGUUUAAACUGUUAGGACUAUGGGAGGUUUUAAAGUUGGGCUGAGUACAUUCUGCAUUAUCAGAAGACCAUGUACCUAUGGUGGCCUGGACAGGAUGCUAUUAUUUGGUUGUAAAAUAUCUGCCAAAAGCUCAUGCCAAAGACAUUGAAUACUGGAUCUCUGGUUGGUAGUGAUAUUUUGGAUGUUGGGACCUAACCGGAGGAAGUGAGUUACUGGAGGAUAAGCCUUGAGGUUUAUAGGCUGGCCCUACACCCUGUAUCCUUCUGCUUCACGGACCAACAAGAUGUGAAUAAACACCCUCAUAUUCCUGUCA